rnacentral:rRNA from 1 species
UACGUAGGCAGCGAGCGUUGUUCGGAGUUACUGGGCGUAAAGCGUGCGUAGGCGGUGCCAUAAGUCUGUUGUGAAAUCUCCCGGCUCAACUGGGAGGGUGCGGUGGAAACUGUGGUGCUGGAGUGUGGGAGAGGUAGGCGGAAUUCCUGGUGUAGCGGUGAAAUGCGUAGAUAUCAGGAGGAACACCAGCGGUGUAGACGGCUUACUGGACCACGACUGACGCUGAGGCACGAAAGCGUGGGGAGCAAACAGG